rnacentral:rRNA from 1 species
CCUACGGGCUACAGCAGUGAGGAAUAUUGGUCAAUGGCCGGAAGGCUGAACCAGCCACGUCGCGUGAGGGAUGACGGUCCUAUGGGUUGUAAACCCCUUUUGUCAGGGAGCAAAGGGCGCCACGUGUGGCGUUUUGCGAGUCCCUGAAGAAAAAGCAUCGGCUAACUCCGUGCCAGCAGCCGCGGUAAUACGGAGGAUGCGAGCGUUAUCCGGAUUUAUUGGGUUUAAAGGGCGCGGAGAUGGGUUGUUAAGUCAGUUGUGAAAGUUUGCGGCUCAACCGCGAAAUUGCAAUUGAAACUGGGUGUCUUGAGUGCAGUAGGGGUAGGCGGAAUUCGUGGUGUAGCGGUGAAAUGCUUAGAUAUCACGAAGAACCCCGAUGGCGAAGGCAGCUUACUAGACUGUGACUGACAUUGAUGCUCGAAAGUGUGGGUAUCAAACAGGAUUAGAUACCCCAGUAGUC